AUGAAGGGAGCCAGGAGCCUUGGGGUGCUGGAGAUGCUUGAGUUAGGCUGCUUCCUUUUGGGCUUGGUGGAUCCAAUCACUGAGUUUCCCCAAUCAGGAGACAAAGGAUCACUACUGCAAUGCACAAUGGGUCCCAAAGGAGGGAUUCUCAUUUUCCCUUAUCUCACCUUGACUUUCUUUUUUUUUUUUUUUUUUUUUUUUUGUCUUUUUCCUUUUUAUCGGUACCAGGGAUCGAACUCACGACUGCCUGCUUUCAAGGCUCACCUUGACUUUCUAUCUGCCAAUCAAGAUGGCGUCUACGGGUAUAAAUGUAUAAGUUUGUCCUCAAGUGCUUGCCGUAGAUCAGAUGGCAAAGUGAAUCACCAAUCACCUUGGAGUCCAGUAGGGUGGACAUUGCAGGCUUGCAGGUGUCGGGAUUAUAGGCCUGUGCUGUUCCACCUCUUUGCAUCAUCCUGCCACACAAGCACCACAGAAGUCUCUGUGUGACCCGACCUCUUCUGCUAAUAAAGACCCGUCAUGCUGGAUCACACACUUUCUACAGGAGUCCAUAGGAGUGACGUCUCCCCGCAUCCCAGCGGUACUAGGAACAGCAAGCUUUGAAACUUUCAUCAACUCUAGCUGGCCACAGCAGUCUCUUCAGAGGUCUUUUUCCAUGUAUGGGCACCGUUGGAGAUGCUGGGGGUCCAGGGUCUAACAUGAGAAUUUUAGGAGGAAUAGAAUUCAGCCUACACAACACAGACGAAAAACACAGCUAAUUCUGUCACCAGUGCCUUCCUCUCCGUGCCAUAAAGGUUAGCACUGGAGCUGAACUGCUGUCUGCAAAGGUCUCCAAAGAACUUUUGAAGACUGACUUCUGAGGUUUAAACAGAACAGGGGCCGAGGAGCCGGAGUCUGGUGGAGGGAAACAGCUCUUUGACUUACAAUAUAUUUCUAUAUUCGAUAUCCUGGUCAUGGGGAAGCACUUGCUCUGUAUUUUAUUCUUCAAGUGUCACCGGAGGCCACCUACACAGCAGGGACUAGAGAUCAUUUCAAGUUUUCUCUGUCAUUUUUUUUGAUGGAAAUCUUUCUAAAUACAAUUAAAAAUGUGUAAAAAUCCUAAAAAAGGGAUAAGAAUAAAGCUGAAGAGAAGGUUUAUGGUUAACUGUGCUUUUGGUGCGUUGCAAUCUGUUGAUGAUCUUCAGGGGAAAAAAAACUGGUGUAAAGUUUCAUGAUCCUUGGUCCUAUCUUCAUUUUUACCGGACUUAUUUUGAUCUAUGAAGCUUUCUUAAAGGUUAACCUAUGUUAGGGAAAUGUUAUUGCCUUCUCCCCAAAUGGAAAAAAAAGUUACGGUCAACUCCAUCCACGUUCUAUUGAUCUGCCACAGGGAUCAAACUCAGAAAAUUAUUAACCGCACACAGCCCACCUUCCGUCACCAGCAGGCUCCUGGGUCACCUUCGCAGGUCUGUAGUUGUUUAUCAGAUUUCAGAGAACUGUAACAUUUGUUUGAAGGAAUGUCAUUACGAGGGGAAUCUGCUCCUCAUGGAACCACAUAGCAUCCUCCAAGGUGAGAUCACGGCGGUGUCCGUAUUUCUUUUUUUAAUCACUUGCUGUGCAGUGUUAAUGCGUGGCUGCUUCUCUGGUUGAGUAGAAGGAGCUGAAGGCUUUGACAUGUGAAGAAGCGUAGGAAAUUGGGUUUUUAAAGGGACCACGCUGAAUGCAUUUUGUGCCUUCUUACUUGAUCUUCUAAGUCACUCUAGGAGGUGAAUUCAAUAUUAUCAUCCCUUCACAGAGGAGGAAAAGGACAUUUUCAAAGGAAAGCAGACAGGGCAAGGGCAGAACAAGGGCUCAUCAUUAGUUCUUUGCAUCACCCAGAAGUUUACAGAAAGGCUCUGGAGGACCUUCCAGGGCCCAGGCUUUGGAAUUGUGAUGGUUAAUCUUGAUUGCAUUGAGAAACCCUGAGAAAUCAGUUCAGCCUGCUCAGGAGUGAUUGGCAUGUGUGACAGCCAACUGAAUGGAGAGUCCCGCCCUAGAUAUAGGUGGCGCCAUCCAAUUGGGCCCUGGAUGUAAAAAAAAGCAGGAGAGGAAUGCUACUCUCCUCCCUCCCUAUCUCCCUCCUCCUCCUCCUCCUCUCUCCUCCUUCUUCUCCCCUUUGGGCCACCAUGUCCCAUUCUCUGUCAUGACAUUCAGCUUUGUCUCAGGCACCCAGCAAGAGUCCCAGAGUCCGUGUAAACCACUGAGCCCAGGUAGACCUUUCUUUCUUUGAGUUGCUUUCCUCAGGCACUUUGUUGCAGCAAUGUGAAGCUGAUUGCUUAUUGAGUUGGGGUAGGACAGCUGGCCAAAGGCCUGGAGUCCCUGAGACACAGGAAAAUUGAGGACCCCAGCCCAGCUGCAGAGACCCUGGUCAGACACAGCUGCGUCUCUGAGCCUCCCUUGGUCUCACAGAGGAAGAGGAGGCCCACGAAGGUUCCAUGCAUUUUAUUCUUCUUCUUGUAUUCUCAAUUGCUUCUUCCUUUUUCCUUGUAGAUUUGAAGAGUGAAGCAACAACUCUGCUUGCUACUGGAUUCCUGUGGGUGGAGUGGCUUUCUCUUAUAUGACUUUUGUAUAUAAUCUCAUGGUAAAAGGGUUAAAAAAUCCUAUGUAUUUCUCCUUCCAGAGAAAAGCAUGGGACAUCAACUUGCAGCUCUUUUACGAUGAUAUCAGUGGACUUACUGCUCGCCAAGAUACACUGAUGCCUAGAGCAGAAGGGAAAAGUCAAUAAUACUGAUUCUGUCUUCAAUUGUAUUGUGUGUGUGUGUGUGUGUUUGUGUGUGCGUGAUACUGGGGAUUGAACCCAGGGCCUUUCCAUUGAGCAACAUACCCAAACUUUUUUUUUUAAUAAAUUCUUUAUUUUGGAGCUGGGGAUUUAGCUCAGUGGCAUAAGCACCUACCUUGCAAGCAGGUGGUCGUGAGUUCAAUCCUCUGUACCAACAAAAAUAAAUAAAUAAAUAAAUAAAUUCUUUAUUUUGAGACAGGAUCCUGCUAAGUUACUGAGGCUGGAGUUCAGACUGGAGACCCUCUUGCAUCAGCCUCCCAGAGCACUGGGAUGAGAGACACACCACUAUGCCUGGCUUUGUCUUGUCUUUAUUUAAAUCUGUGAUGUUUUGUUCAUCAUGGAUAACUUUUGCCUUACUUUGAUUUUAAUAUCAUUGCAUCAAAACAUGAUCUAUCACGAUUACUGAAUUUUUUGGCAUCUCUUGCCUUCAAUUUGGCACUGAAAUGAGUUCUGUUGAUCUGCCUCAUUCAUCCUCCCUAGCCCUGGCCCACAUUAUCAUUACAAAUCCUUUCUAUUUUUUGGGUUGUUUUACCAAAUAACGGCACCAUGAUUGGAGCGGUUACACUUCCGUAACGCAGUAUAAUUCCGCAGACUCCAUUCUGGUUUUACAUAGGCUUAGUCCUCACCACGACUGAGGGUAAGGUAGGUGCUGUUUGCCCUGCUUUCACCCUAUGGAUAGGAAAACAGACGUACAGGGAGCUCAAGUGCCUCUGUCCACGCAGCCGGCAAGGAGCAGGACGGGCCCUUGACCCGGGUGGCCUGGCUGGAGGGUGGAUGCUGAUCCUCGGGCGCUUCUCUCUUCCUCUGUGUGGAAUGGUCUUUGGGCUGGGCAUGGUGGUGCAGGCCUGCAAUCCCAGCUUGCAGGAGGCUGAGCCCCGGAUUGUUGUGAGUUCAAGACCAGCCUGGGCUACAAAUUGAGCUAAAGGUCAGCCUGGACUGCAUAGCAAGACCCUGUCUCAAAAAGACAUAACAAAAGAAUGGUCUUGUCUCUGCAUUUCUUUCUUACAGUUAUGGGCAUCUUUUAAUUUCAGCACAGAAGACUCUUUCCCUUCCUUGGAUUCCCAAUAGAGAUGGAAACAGCCAUCUCUGUAGCAGAAGGGUGUGUGCGGACUCAAACUCAGGACCUCAAGCUUGGCAGGCAGGUGCUGCACCACUGAGCUAAGUCCUCAGCCUCAAAUGUCUCUUUGCAGGCCCCAGGGACCUCGGUGCCACCCCCAUGUCUGUCCAUCUCUGCCCUUUCUUUCUAGUGGGCUUGGGCGAGGCUGCACCCGCCCCUCAGUGCUCUUAUUUUGAAGGUAAGGACCCCACGGGUAAAGCCAGCAAUCUGUCUGCUGCGAGCCAGGCGGGCCACCUCUUCGCAAGCUCAGGGAAAACAUUUGGAGCACAGAUUGCACAGCACCUGAAUUUGAAAUGUUUAUUUCUUGGCUGGCUUUUAUUUUCUUCCAACUAUCAAAGGGACUCUGGCUGAAGUUGACGCGCUAAUCACAUGUCUCAUUUCAUUUCUUCAGUCCUAGUUAUUUUUAAAUGGUAAGUAACAUGAGCCACUGCCCUUUGCAACUGAGAAACCUGUUCACAAUUCAGAGUGGUGUCUACCUCUCUGUGUGCGCCGUCUUCCCAUGCUUUUCUUUGGUUUUGGGGUGACAAUUAAAGGCUUAUGGUUCUUUCAUCGACAUGCAUGCUCAUUACUGAUACAGUUCAUGCAUUCUGGGGGUACGGGAAGAAGGUUGAUAGAUAUCAACCUAGAGAUCUCCCUAAGUGGCUUAAACCGAAACCCUGACCUUUCCUGAUUCCCAAGCUACAGGCUGCCUUUCUACUGUGAGUCGUCUGCGAAUCCCACAUACCGGGCCUUGCAUCGACCUCCUCCGUGAGUGUGUGUGUGUGUGUGUGUGUGUGUGUGUGUGCUCCAGUCUUUUGUUAUUUCUUGCACAAUGAGUGGGUAACAGCCAGGCAGGAUCAGGUCCCUUGAAGCACCGCAGAGCAGGGGACAGGAACACAGCCCUGCUCCUUGCUCUUCUUGCUCCCUGAGGGUGGCAGGGUGCAGGUGGUCAGUAAGAUAGCAGGAGUUACAGAGUGGGCUGUUCUGUAUCCAGAUUCACACUGAGGUCCUAAUCCCCCAGUAACUGCAGACGUGAGUGUGUUUGGAGAGAGAGCCUUGAGGGAAGGAAAUGUUUGGAAACAGGGUCUUGCCUUGCACUUUAGGCUGACCUCAGACUCCUGGCGGUUCUUCUGCUUCAGCCCCGGAGUGCUGGGAUUACAAGCAUGUGCCACUCAGCCUGGCUAAAGUGGUAAUGAUGUUAAAAUCCAGGCAGAGUGGCCGGUGUCCUGCUGAGGCGAGGGGAUCUGGACACAGUGACAGGUGUGCAGACACAGGGAGAAGGAGGCCCUCCCCGUGCCCGAGAGAGGCCUCCCAAGAGACCAGCCUGCCUGACCCCUUGAUCUCAGCCUUUGCAGCUCCAGAUCCAUUUGAAAAUAAAUUUCUACUGCCAAAGCCAACCUGCCUGUAGCUGUUUGUUACAGGAGUCCUGGAAAUGAAGACGGCUGUGAAGUGGAUACAACAGAAUGGGCCUUGAGUCAGAGACACAGAGUUUGUUAACCAGGUCAAGAAGUCAUUGAACAUUUUCCAAAAUAACGACAGCGCCUAUGACCAGACAACGCGGAGCGAGAAGAGCACCUGGUGUGGGAUUCUGUCAUCAGGUAUGAGGCGGGCUGUCACCCUGGACUGGACUCUGCCAGCCCUGGAGGACCGGGAGCUGCACGUGAGCUGCAUGGGCGCUGGAAGCUGUGGCCGUGUUCCUACUGCUGGAUUCAGCCACGGUCUCCUGCGUGCUUAUCCCAAAGGUGGGAGCCAAGCCAGAGACACUGCCUGUAGGGAUAUGUUCAUUGCAUCAUUGGUCUUUGUUUUAAAACGUUUUUAAAUUUUAAAGAGAAUUAAAACCAACAAAACAAAACAGAAUAAGCCAAUCAAAACAAAGCAGCGAAACUUCGAAGCAGGACAGUAGGAAAUCAACAAUGCUACCAUAGUUUAUCUCCUUAUCUUUACAAUAGCUGUCUAUACCAUCAGACAUAGCAGAAUCAAGCCAGAACAAAACAGAAUAAAACCAACCAAAUAGAACAUUGAAUAAAGCAAAACAAUUAAUUGGAGCAAAACAAAACAGAAUAAUAUUGGACUUCAAGAAUGAGGCAGAAGGAAAUCCCCAUAUUUGCUGUAUGGCACACUGUCAUCCUCCCUGUAGGCCCUCAGGCCUGCAAAGUCCUCCAGACAAUGCAAGCAUUCAGUUGUUUUUGGUAGCUCAGUUGCUAUCAGCUCAGCCUGUCCUCAGAACAACCGCUUGCUUACAGGGUGGGGGUGGGGUAGGGGUGGCUCUUGAUUCUCAGCCCACCUACCUGUGGCUCAUGGGAGGUGCUAGCUGCCUUUUCUCUUCCUGGGUCCCGCAUAGCUUCCUGCAUCAUUAGUCUUGACAGGGGGGAAAAAAGGAACUAAAUUUACAAGUGUCAAAUAAUGAUCUUAAAUAGGUUUUUCUUUCUUUGUAUAAAUACCCAAGAUCUAACCAGUCACUGGCAGGUAAAAACUUGAAAAUUAGAAUUUUGCUUAAAACUUGCCAGGAACGGUGGAGGCAGCCUUGGCGAGAGCUGAAGGUUCUGCCCUCCACUGUGAAACUCUAUCAGAUUUGGAGAUCCAAACGUAAGUUUCUUUUUCUCUCCUAGUCCGGAAAGUAUGCUACAGUGAUUAGUAAGAUGUUUUUCCCCAUUGUAAAAAGCCCUAAUCCUGCUUGCCUUUGGAGCUUCUCUUGGAACUGGAGAGAGAGAGAGAGGGAGAUAGAUACAGAGAGAGAGAAAGAGAGAGAGAGAGAGAGACAGAGAGACAGAGAGACAGAGAGACAGAGACAGAGAGAAUAUUAAAACCAAGCCUCGCCGGUGUUGGCCUCUGUUGACCUGUCCUCUGUCCUGAGAUGCCAGGGCUCCAGGCCCCAGGAAUGAGCAAGGGAGAGACCCUGGGCCACACUAUUUCUUGUCCUCUCUUGACCAUCGGAUGUCAGAAGUGGUGAAUGCACUGGGGGGUACUCGCCGGGGGGGCCCCCUCAGUCACCUCCUCCGCGAGCUGCCCAGGGCCACAACUUCCUGUGAAAGGUGCUGGAGGAGUGACCCCAACAGCCUGGUGACUGGAUGUAGACACACACACAAGGAGGAUCGAAAAAUAUAGUUAAUGCUGAAAUACAACAUUUACUUCAGCAGAAGGCACAUCGCCUUUAAUUGCCUCAAACCCUCCCCCUUUGCUGUGAACUGUCAUUCCUGCCGCUUUCCAGAGCAGCUCUGGAAGCCCUCUUUUUAUUUUUUAAAAUUUUUUGAGGGGUUUUAUGAAAAAUAUAGUGAAUGCUGUUGCCGAUCCAGAAAGCCAAGCUCACAAAACCAGGAGCAGGUCUCACCCAGCUCAUUCACCAGAGCUGGGGCCCUGCGACUUCUGACUCCAACCCAAAGCGGAGGAGAGGAAAACAUUCUGAAUUAACCUGGGACAUCGAGGCACCCGUCAAAGAAGACUUCCAGAAAUAUGUAUGUGUACAUAGAUGUGUAACUGUCCAAGAUAGUUAAGGUACUUAUAUUGCUAAUUUCUCUUAGCUCAUUGCAAAGAAAGGUUUGUGCUAAUAUUGUUUGGACAAUUAAAUGCAGAUAGCUUGGACUCAGUAAUUAACUUAAAGAUAGCAAUCUGCCAUGUAUAACCAGGUACCCUCUAAUCGUCAUGUUUUGAAAUUUUGUUAUUUUUUUCUACUUAAAAUUAAAAAUAAAAACAAAACAAAGUGGCCAGAACAA